rnacentral:rRNA from 1 species
AGGACGAACGCUGGCGGCGUGCUUAACACAUGCAAGUCAAGGGGGCCCAGCAAUGGGCAACCGGCGAACGGGUGCGUAACACGUGAGCAACCUACCGAACUGUGGGGGAUAGCCGGCCUAACGGCCGAGUAAUACCGCAUACGCUCUCAGAGAGGCAUUUCUUUGAGAGGAAACCUACGGGACAGAUCGAGGGGCUCGCGGCCUAUCAGCUAGUUGGCGAGGUAACGGCUCACCAAGGCAACGACGGGUAGCUGGUCUGAGAGGAUGGCCAGCCACACUU